rnacentral:lncRNA from 1 species
UGGGGCCCUCGCUGCCUGCAGCGGGAGGUAUUCAGUCAGACUUCAGGACUGACUCCCAGCUCCUGGUCACAUGAUCUGCCCUACCUAGGCAGGUGCUUAUUAAGCUUCUGGGGAGUGAAUUCAUGGGACAUCUGUCCUCCCUGAGCAGGGUGGGGACACUGCAUGCUACACUCAUUCCCUGAGUUGCCCUAGAAGCAAGAAGGUCUGAGGGAGGCGGUGGGGAGUGAUGGACCCUCAGACCUCCGCUCAGACCCCCAGGACAUGAAGCUGCUCCCCCGGCCUGCAGCACCCCCACCUCCACCCCAAGCGGCACCCCUGUGGACACUGCAUUAGAUCUGGCCACCUCCCUCCUCCACCCUGCGGGAUCCGCGACCCCCCCGAACCCCCAAUCACUGCAGCACCCAGGACCCCCCCCUUCCCCCCCCCCGGCCCAGGGCAGAAGCUAGUACGAGCUUGCAGCAGGAACUCAGGAGGCAAAUUCUCCCAGUAGGGGUGACCUGGUGGGGGCUGGGCGCAUCGUCGGCCCAUCAUCGCCCCCUCUGCUCCGGGCCAGACUGUUAGGUACCCCUCUCCACCAAGGUGGGCAGAUAGGCUGAGGGAGGCUGGUUGCACUCAGCCUGGCAGUGCCAGCCCCUCCCCCAGCACCCGCUGCUGCCUCUGCAGCAGGCGGGCGGAUGGUCUUUAUUCUGCAGAGGCCAGCUGAGCACCCUGGGGUGGGGGUACCCGUGGCGGCCUGGCCAGAGAGGGGACACGGAUCUGCAGCCCCUCCCCGCCGAACACGGAAUGGGCCCUUUCCAGAGCCUCUCCACAGGCCAGGACCCUCGGCUCCUUUGGUCAAGGCCUGCAUCGCCAGCCCGCGGGGGCAGGGACGACCUUCUCCAAUUUGGGGCCUCCAUGGCGGGGUGGGGGUUAGGGAGUCUGGGGUUCUCGCAGACGUCCGUACAGAUCUACGCUGGAUCACAAACGGCCCAGCCCCCAGUCACGGCUGUCGAGGGUCUGCCCCCAGGCGACUUGAGGCCCGGACGCUGGGAGUCCAGAGCGGGAACAAACAUAGGCAGGAAAGACCUGGAUGGUCCCUAGACCUGGAGGAGGUCAGGGAGCUGGAGGCAGGAGAGCCGGGAGAAGAUAUGCACCCACACACCUACUGA